UACGGAGGAGGCAAGCGUUAUCCGGAAUUAUUGGGCGUAAAGCGUCCGUAGGUGGCUCCCUCAAGUCUGCGGUCAAAGACCGGGGCUCAACCCUGGAAAGGCCGUGGAAACUGGUGAGCUAGAGUGCGGUAGGGGCAGAGGGAAUUCCCAGUGUAGCGGUGAAAUGCGUAGAUAUCGGGAGGAACACCAGUGGCGCAAGCGGCUGCCUGGCCGAGUCCUGACGCUGAGACGCGACGGCGUGGGGAGCAAACCGG
rnacentral:rRNA from 1 species